rnacentral:rRNA from 1 species
UCUUUUCCGGUAAGGGUACCUGCGGAGGGAUCAUUACACAAAUAUGAAGGCGAGCUGGAACCUCUCGGGGUUACAGCCUUGCUGAAUUAUUCACCCUUGUCUUUUGCGUACUUCUUGUUUCCUUGGUGGGUUCGCCCACCACUAGGACAAACAUAAACCUUUUGUAAUUGCAAUCAGCGUCAGUAACAAAUUAAUAAUUACAACUUUCAACAACGGAUCUCUUGGUUCUGGCAUCGAUGAAGAACGCAGCGAAAUGCGAUAAGUAGUGUGAAUUGCAGAAUUCAGUGAAUCAUCGAAUCUUUGAACGCACAUUGCGCCCUUUGGUAUUCCAAAGGGCAUGCCUGUUCGAGCGUCAUUUGUACCCUCAAGCUUUGCUUGGUGUUGGGCGUCUUGUCUCUAGCUUUGCUGGAGACUCGCCUUAAAGUAAUUGGCAGCCGGCCUACUGGUUUCGGAGCGCAGCACAAGUCGCACUCUCUAUCAGCAAAGGUCUAGCAUCCAUUAAGCCUUUUUUUCAACUUUGACCUCGGAUCAGGACGCAUCCCGCUGAACUUAAGCAUAUCAUAGGGGCGGGAGAGGGGA